UAUUUAUAGUUUUAUUUUUACUAACUGAUGUUAAAGCUGAGGAGAAGAAACGGCAUCCUCCGACUGUAACGG